GCCUUUAUGCAUCUUUGUUUCUCAAUCAAAAAAGUAAUGGUUUAGGAACUCAGAUAACUGAAAAAUGACUGUGAGCAAAACAAAAACGGAAGAAGCUAUGAAGAAAAGGCAACCGACCAAUCACGAUUCUCUGACUGCAAUAAAGUCUAGAAACAAAAGCAACAGAAAACCUGAGAAAAGCAUCCCAAACAACAGGCAUGAUGGGUUAUUUGGGAGGGAGGGAAAAAAAUGCAGUAAGUAGAAGUAAUUAGGACAGAACAGUUAUAAGAGAGAGAACAUUUUUUUAAAAAUCAAACAAAAGCGAGGCUGGAUUUAAACUUAGAAGCAUACUCCAUUUAAACGCAUGGCCAGAAUAUCAAAUCAAAAGGUCACACACAUUCACCUCCUCCUCCACCCCAUUACGUAUUGGAUCUUCAAUCACAACAGCUAGUGUGAGAUGGGACAUUUUAGACACUGUUGCAUCAGCAGAAGCAAAACCCAUCUUAUGCAAAUGGGUUUUGGGAAGAGGAAAAGGCUGCUAAAAUUCAGAGGUCAUCAUUCCCCCGAAGCGAUGGACAGCUUGAG
rnacentral:lncRNA from 1 species